AAGCACCAGUCUGUGAAUCAGCUGGUGACGAAGUAUUGCGUGUGUCACUUUUUCAUCAGGUUUCAUUAGCUUUUGUUAGAAAUUCGUCAAGUGCGGUGACCGUGGGAUGGCAGGAUGAAAGGCCACCCCUUCUGGACGUGUUAGAGGGCGCCAUCCCAGUCCAAAAGCCCGUGACGAGCUGGAAGCAAGGCAGUGGUGCUCCUCCCACGCCCUGAAUGGAGCUUUGUUGAGUGCGACGGUCUUCAAUUGACAUUUUUGCCAGGUGGCACAGGCGACGAGGACGGUGGUCUGGGGUCACGGGAACAGCCUGAAUUAAGCCGUGGAGCCGCGUCUUUACGGCUGGCCACGGUGAACUCAGCCCCAACUGAGCCCUAAAUGUGACCCUCCAACCACCACCUCCAGCCACCACUACAGGAACCAUCACCACCAUCACCACCACCAUCGCCACCAUCAUCACCACCAUCAUCACCGCCUCACCACCACCUGCACGACCUCCAUGACCAGUCCUGCCACCACCGUCAGCGGCACAGGUUUAGUGCAAGUUCCUGACGUCAUCGUGUUGCCGCACCUGUGAAUCAGUAAUUGGAACAUUUGUAUUGGGGCGUCAAGAUGUAAGGAAUCUGGCUAACUCCGUGAUUGGUUGACACACCCAGCAAUGCUCACCUCAUGUCUGUUGGUUAUGGAUUCUAAAUAUCCGGAUGGUUUGGCUGACACGUCCAGCUGUUCUGAUCUGACGUCUGUCGCUCAAGUGUUACUGCUGCACCUCAUCAUCGGUGUUCCUGGUGAUGCUGGUCAUUAUAACACGGAAAUGUAACUGCAUAACAGAAAAAAAGAAAACAACGAAGACUGAACUAAAUUGGCCAACUUUAUUGAAAUAUCUUUUCUGCUAUUUGUUAGAGGAGCGGCAAUUUUUUUGUUUUUUUUUUGUUUUGUUUUUCUUGCAGCUCUUGACUUGCUUCCUGGGAGAAUAAAGUAAAAAACAAGUGGCACCGCAGUCAUGUAGCUCCCUUGCUCGCUGCACUGCCCCCUGCCGCAGCCAUGAGGGAAGACACACAACAUAGGAAGCACGUACAAGAAACCUACACGCCUACACGUGGCUGUCCCUCUAUGAAACAUACACUACUACCCAAUAGUUAUUUAUUUAAUCUUAUAAAAGCACCUUUUUGACUUGACACUAA